rnacentral:tRNA from 1 species
GAAAUAUAUCAAAUUUAAGCUUCUAACUUAAUAAAUAGUGAAUAUACAUUAAUAUUUCU